GAUGAACGCUGGCGGCGUGCCUAAUACAUGCAAGUCGAGCGAACAGACGAGAAGCUUGCUUCUCUGAUGUUAGCGGCGGACGGGUGAGUAACACGUGGAUAACCUACCUAUAAGACUGGGAUAACUUCGGGAAACCGUAGCUAAUACCGGAUAAUAUUUUGAACCGCAUGGUUCAAAAGUGAAAGACGGUCUUGCUGUCACUUAUAGAUGGAUCCGCGCUGCAUUAGCUAGUUGGUAAGGUAACGGCUUACCAAGGCAACGAUGCAUAGCCGACCUGAGAGGGUGAUCGGCCACACUGGAACUGAGACACGGUCCAGACUCCUACGGGAGGCAGCAGUAGGGAAUCUUCCGCAAUGGGCGAAAGCCUGACGGAGCAACGCCGCGUGAGUGAUGAAGGUCUUCGGAUCGUAAAACUCUGUUAUUAGGGAAGAACAUAUGUGUAAGUAACUGUGCACAUCUUGACGGUACCUAAUCAGAAAGCCACGGCUAACUACGUG
rnacentral:rRNA from 1 species